CUCUGUGACUCCUACGGGAGGCAGCAGUGGGGAAUAUUGCACAAUGGGCGCAAGCCUGAUGCAGCCAUGCCGCGUGUGUGAAGAAGGCCUUCGGGUUGUAAAGCACUUUCAGUUGUGAGGAAGGUGGUGUCGUUAAUAGCGGCAUCAUUUGACGUUAGCAACAGAAGAAGCACCGGCUAACUCCGUGCCAGCAGCCGCGGUAAUACGGAGGGUGCGAGCGUUAAUCGGAAUUACUGGGCGUAAAGCGCAUGCAGGUGGUUUGUUAAGUCAGAUGUGAAAGCCCGGGGCUCAACCUCGGAACUGCAUUUGAAACUGGCAGACUAGAGUACUGUAGAGGGGGUAGAAUUUCAGGUGUAGCGGUGAAAUGCGUAGAGAUCUGAAGGAAUACCGGUGGCGAAGGCGGCCCCCUGGACAGAUACUGACACUCAGAUGCGAAAGCGUGGGGAGCAAACAGGAUUAGAUACCCUGGUAG
rnacentral:rRNA from 1 species